GGAGACUACAGGCCUGCAUUCUGUGUGCACAUGAGAGGAGAGAGGAGGCUAUGCAAGGGGGGAGUUGUGUGUUUUCCUGGCAGCGGUAUAUUAAAAAGGACUGUUUCCUUCUUGUACAGCUGGUUCCAUUCCUGAUGAAUUUACCUUAUUGCAAUUACACCAGGCUUUCCAGCAGCUCCUAGUGACUUGGGGCCUCGUCGACCAAGGUGUUGCACAACGUCAAUGCCUAUUGACUCUACUGGGAGUUGGCACGGAAAACGUAUAAAAGUCACUUGCAUUUUUACAAUCAGAAAAAUGCAAAAGAAAAGAGUCGGAGGAAUGUGAAAACUGACAAAAGCAAGAAGCACAGAAACACCUUGCAAGAUCUCCCAGAAUCAACUAACCAUCUCUCCUUCUGGCUGGUUACAAGGCAAACAAGAUCAAAAUCUUGUAGGCUCCUGCACAGUGAAAUCACACAUGUUUCCUGGUUCUUUAGGAAAGACAGACAAAACAAUGGCCAAUCGUUAUUUUGGAUAUGUUCUAGUCUAUUCAGGUUCUUUAAUACAUAACCCUAACAAGUAACUUCAGUUGCUAAUGACACUGAAGAAAAUGCUAAACCUGACCCUAUUUACUUUUAAAGGGUGUCAGUCCAGGCUAUUCUGAAAGAGCAGUUGUAACUGGGUGAAGCUAGACUCCCAAAUGCAGGGUCGGAGCCUUUACCAAGCUGAAGUGUCUACUUUCUAAGUGUCCCAGUUAAGCACAGAUGACAUGAUGGUGUAAAGAGAGAUAAGCAGUCUCUGAGAAAAUGGGACUUGAGCCAAAUAAACAUCUUCCAACAUGUUA